rnacentral:tRNA from 1 species
AACCGGCCGUGGCUGGCGGUCGCGGCGGCGGCCCUGCUGCUGGCCGGGCUUUACCUCGGGUUCGAGCGCCUGGCCGGCUACC